UACGUAGGGUGCGAGCGUUAAUCGGAAUUACUGGGCGUAAAGCGUGCGUAGGCGGUUCGCUGUGUCCGAUGUGAAAGCCCCGGGCUUAACCUGGGAAUGGCAUUGGAAACUGGCGGGCUUGAGUGCGGCAGAGGGGGGUGGAAUUCCGCGUGUAGCAGUGAAAUUCGUAGAUAUUCGCAAGAACACCAGUGGCGAAGGCGGCUCACUGGCCCGAUACUGACGCUGAAGCACGAAAGCGUGGGGAGCAAACAGGG
rnacentral:rRNA from 1 species